GACCCCCCCCCCCCCCCCUUUUUUUAUACACUGCUGCUACUCGCUGUUUAUUAUCUAUGUAUAGUCACUUUACUCCUACCUACAUGUACAUAUUACUUCAAUUACCUUGACUAACAUUUACCUCCGCACAUUGUCUCGGUACCGGUACCCCCUGUAUAUAGCCUUGUUAUUGUUAUUUUAUUGUGUUACUUACAUUUUUUACUUUAGUUUAUUUAGUAAAUAUUUUCUUAGCUCUUAUUUUUCUUAAAACUGCAUUGUUGGUUAAGGGUUAAGGGCUUGUAAGUAAGAAUUUAAGUAAGGUAAGUAAGGUCUACACCUGUUGUAUUCGGCGCAUGUGACAAAUACAAUUAGAUUUUAUUUGGUAAUUGGGAGGGGGGCAUUCCUAGUUUGUCUCUUCCCUCGAAUGUCUCUUCUUUAGAUCACUUGAUGUUUUCAGUUCUGUAUCAGUGGUGUUUCCUCAACACAAAGGGCUGUGAUGUGACAGUGUGAAGGGCUGAAGUGAAGUGGAGGAGAAGAGUGGAGGGCAGUGGACGCAUCCAGCAUGGUGGAGCAGAGCAGAGAGAAUGAAGCCCUGAUACAGUUCUGUGGCACAGCAAGAGCCCUGGCUUCUGAAAAGAUGUCUCUCUCCACAGGAGGUGUGGAUGGAAAAAUCUCCCUCCCCAAUCUAGCCGGGGACACAUCCAUGUCUCGGCUGCAGCACUCUGCUCUAACGCCACGCCUGACUGACUCUGAGAGGAUGCAGUGUCAGGAUUACCAUCGUCUCCCAAGAAACAGCAUCAUCAUCGGCUUGGUAGCUGUAAAGAACCAGGCAGUAGGCAAGUAGCAGCAGCAUCAGCAUCAGGAAGGGAAUGAGGGAUGUUUACCUUUGAAAUCAGGGGUUCCCCAACUCUGCAGCCCCCAGGGGACCUAUCUUAAAGAAGAACGCUGUUUCUUAAACUGACAAGGAAACAAAUCAGAAUGUAACAAGGCUACAACGCUACGCUAGCUAACAAACCAACGGCGCGUCUCGUUAUGAAGAGCCCCCAGGACAUUUUAUCUCCCUGAGAAGGAGAAGUGGAGUGCACCAACUUAAACUUUCAUUCAAGUGGAGAGGAGAGAGAAUGUUUUCUAAUAUCAUAUAUAAAUUCAGCUCUCGUCUUUGGAUGUGAUAAAUCCGUUAAGCCAGCCUGGUGUUUCUACCCAGCUAUUUUCCCUAAGGAAGAGGAGGGAGAAAAACAGACUAUCUGAAAAGGUUUUUGUGACAACACCAGCUCAUGCAAAGGUGCUAAUAAUUCAUGGUUUGUAAACAUCUAUCAACACAUUCAUUCAUUCAUUCUACAUCCACACAGACAUGUGAAGUAGAAAACCACAAUAGCAGUUGUUGAAUUUUAUUUCACAAGAAACUCAUCUCUCUUACCUCCUGGAUAAUUAAUUCUAAUGAUACUGGUUUAUCUGUGACAUACAUUAUAAUAAACAUUAAUACACCAGCUCACUCAUCUCAAUGUGUUAUUGAGCAGAACGUUGACCUUUGCCGAGCCCCCUGGACCUUCUCGGAUAUGUGUGAAAAAUAUCCACGCCAGCCCUUUCAGAGCGCAGGGCUCAUUUGAUAGAAACGUGACAGGGGUAUUUAUAGAGAGAGGCAGGCUAGGGCAGAGAAUGGAAUCCUCCACCUCCUCGUUCUCUUUCUAUUCCAUGGGCCUGAGCCUGCUCCAGUCCAGUCCAAACACUAUAAUAAUCAGUACUAAAUUCGCUAAGGCCUACCCUAGAAUUAGAAUCAGUAUUACAUUAUCUAUGUUAUACCCUAGAAUUAGAAUUAGUACAACAUUUGCUAUGGCCUACUCUAGAAUUCGAAUUAGUACAACAUUCACUAAGGCCUACCCUAGAAUUAGAAUCAGUACAACAUUCACUAAGGCCUAACCUAGAAUUAGAAUCAGUAAAACAUUCGCUAAGGACAACCCUAGAAUUAGAAUCAGUACUACAUUCUCUAUGUUCUACCCUAGAAUUAGAAUCAGUACUGCAUUCGCUAAGGCCUAGCCUAGAAUUAGAAUCAGUACUACAUUCUCUAAGGCCUACCCUUCCGUCUGGCCACUCUACCAUAAAGGCCUGAUCGGUGGAGUGCUGCAGAGAUGGUUGUCCUUGUGAAUGUUUCUCCUAUCUCCACAGAGGAACUCUGGAGUUCUGUCAGAGUGACCAUCAGGUUCUUGGUCACCUCCCUGACCAAGGCCCUUCUCCCCUGAUUGCUCAAUUUGGACGGGCGGCCAGCUCUAGGAAGAGUCUUGGUGGUUCUUGGUGGUUCUUUCAUUUAAGAAUGAUGGAGGCCACUGUGUUCUUGGGGACCUUCAAUGCUGCAGAAAUGUUUUGGUACCCUUCCCCAGAUCUGUGCCUCGACACAAUCCUGUCUCAGAGCUCUACGGACAAUUCCUUCGACCUCAUGGCUUGGUUUUUGCUCUGAAAUGCACUGUCAACUGUGGGACCUUAUAUAGACAGGUGUGUGCCUUUCCAAAUCAUGUCCAAUCAAUUGAAUUUACCACAGGUGGACUCCAAUCAAGUUGUAGAAACAUCUCAAGGAUGAUCAAUGGAAACAGGAUCCACCUGAGCUCAAUUUCGAGUAUCAUAGCAAAGGGUCUGAAUACUUUUGUCAAUACAUUUUUACAUUUUUUAUUUUUUAAAUGUUUAAAAAAAUGUCUAAAAACCUGUUUUUGUUUUUUCAUUAUGGGGUAUUGUGUGUAGAUUGAUGAGGAAAAAAUGUAUUUAAUCCAUUUUAGAAUAAGACUGUAAUGUAAUUUAUUUUUUUUUAAGUCAAGGGGUCUGAAUACUUUCCAAAUGCACUGUAUACUACAUCUCUAUGGGCCUGCCAUCCUAUGUCACAUUAACAUAUACCAGGAAGGCACACUAACAGAGUUGACAUGUUUUGCAUUAAGGCACCAUUAACCCCACAUAGUUCCAUCAGCAUGGUAUGUUUAGCCUACAUCAAUAUGCAUGUAAUAAUACCAACCAUGUGACGUGUUGGUUAACGAUAAACAAAUUAACAUAUUAAGACAAAAACAAACCACAUCUGUAAACCUGCCUGAUCUACACUGCCACGUUUGAUUCCUGUUUAUCUCCAAAUUAUAGGUUGCCUACUAGCAGGGUUGAAAUUAGCAGGAGAUCAUUUUUUUUGGGCCCCGCAAAAAACUACAAAUCAAUAGGAAUUUAGCAAUAAAUUAGUUUAAAAUUUGUCCUAAUUUAAACAAAUGUAUUGCUAAAUUCCUGGUGAUUUUGUAGUCUUUUAUUUAACUUUAGAAAAAAUGUUGCAGCGCAACAUAAAAAAAAUCUCCUGCCGGCCACCUGCUAGUUUCAACCCCCGACCAACCGCUCGGACAAAAAUCAUUCCGCAGCUGAAUCUAGUUGCCUACCCCUGGUUUACAGUAUGUCCCUCCCCGAGUCAGACCAUUACAAUCAACAAAUCAGCCACACCAGCCAGCAGGGGGAGAUAAAUAAAUCAAAUGAAUAAAUGGGAAUAACGCCCCGAGCAGAUGUUUACAUAAACAUUAUUUACAAAUGCAUUAUGCAUCACAAUGCUCUUUUUGCUCCUACAGAAUUGUUCAUUAUUAUUCCAGGUGUUCCUUUAGAGUGUUGAGAUACGGAGGCACAGCUUUGAUCACCAUAUCAGAACAAUCCCCUCUUUCAUCCCCUGGAUGGAAGGGAGGGAACAUGGUUUGGUUAAGGGGAGAUUUUGGAUCAAGGUUGGUUCAGCCGAGCUGAGACUUGGCACACCCUCCCUCCCCUCUUGUUUGGUAUGCAAGCCCAUUGCUGUUCUACUGAAGUCAUCGGCAACAUCAAUCUCCCAUUAAUACACAGCGCAAAUAUUCCAAGAAGCAGAAGAACUUGAUGCUGAGCGAAAACAAGUCUGGAGAAAAGACCCCAAAACCAACAAUAACACAAAUACAAAAAGAGAGAAAGAGAAACAA
rnacentral:lncRNA from 8 species